rnacentral:piRNA from 1 species
UGUGUUGCUCCUUCACUUGGAAUCUACAAU